rnacentral:lncRNA from 1 species
CAAGAAGUGAAGUCAAGAUAGGAGGUAAAUUCGGAAGACAGGAAGUGGUGGUAGAAGACAAGAAGUGAAGUCAUACAGGAAGUAAAGUCAGAAGACAGGAAGUGAAGUAAGAAGACAGGAAGUGGUUGUAGAAGACAGGAAGUGAGGUCAUACAGGAAGUAAAAUCAGAAGACAGGAAGUGACGUCAAACCAGGAUUUGCAGUCGGAGGCAGGCAAGAAGUGAAAUCAGAAGACGGGAAGUGGCUGAGGGGAACGUCUUUUCUCUCUCCUGCUCAGCCCGAAGUGAACAGGUAGCAUCAGGUGUGCCAUUUCAGUGACUGGGCACAGCCCAGGCACCCACAUCUCUCUGCAGCGCCUAUUCUUGGAACACCAGAGACCUCUACACUAUUUUCUGUUGCUUUUUUCCUUCAUUUUCAGAGAUGAGAUCCUGGAUUGAAUGACUACUAUGGAAAGUGAUUGACCAAGGGCCGCUCACCAUGGCAGCCGGCUCCAUCACCACCAGCCAGCGAGAGGGCAAGACAAGAGGGCUGACGAGGGACGCUACCAUCACAGAGGCUGGUCUCGAACUCCUGACCUGAGGUAAUCCGCCCACCACAGCCUCCCAAAGUGCUGGGAUUACAGGCGUGGCUAUUAGCCUCGCCAAGUUAAGAUUCUUGAUGCCAACCAAUCACCCACUCCAUGUUUUUCAGGAUUAUAAACACUAGUCAUAAAGCAUGAACUGCCUGGGGGUGGUGGCUCACACCUGUAAUCCCAGCACUUUGGGAGGCAGUUGGAUCACCUGAGGUCAGGAGUUUGAGACUAGCCUGACCAAUAUGGUGAAACCCCACCUCUAGCUGGGUGUGGUGGUGUGCACCUGUAAUCCCAGCUACUUGGAGACAGGAGAAUCGCUUGAACCUGGGAGGUGGAAGUUGCAGUGAGUGGAGAUCAUGCCAUUGUACUCCAGCCUGGGCGACAGAGCAAGACUUCAUCUCAAAAAUAAGUAAGUAAAGCUCCAACUGUUUGUUCCACCUAUUCUCUGGGCGGGGUCCUGUGCUGGCCCUUUCAAGGAAGGUCUCGUAUAACCCCCCCAGUGACUGUGAGGUGAGUCCUAUUAAGGCCUGCACUCUGCAGAUGAAGAAACAGGCUCAGAGGGGUAACAGCUCUUCCCCAGGAGGUGCAGCUGGUUUGGGGUGAAGCUGG